rnacentral:rRNA from 1 species
AAUAUUAGUCAAUGCUCGAAAGAGUGAACUAGCUAACUGAAAUCAAUAAAAGAUAAUUGAUAACAUAAGGGAAAAUAAUGAUAUUACCUUAUUAUUAGUGUCGUCCAAAACUGGUGCCAGAAGACUCGGUAAGGCCAGAGACACAAACGUUAAUCGUCUUAAUCAGGCGUAAAGGGUUUGUAGGCGGCUUUAAAAUUUACUUAUUAAAAAAAUAAAUAAUAAGUAAAGAAUAAAAGCUAGAAUCAAAUAGAGGAUAUAUGAAAUAAUGCUUAGAGUAGGUCUGAUAUCUUUAGAUACUAAGUAGAAUAUUAAAGGCGAAAGCUUUUUUCCAUUAAUGAUUGACGCUCAGAAACGAAGGUGAGGAUAGGAAAUAGGAUUAGAGACCCAAACUACCCCUCUCUGUCAACGAUGAAUGGUAGUUAUUAGUAAAAAUUAUUAAUGGCAAUGUUAACACAAUAACCAUUCCGCCUUGUGAGUACAACUGCAAAGUUGAAAACAAAAAAAUUAGUCGGUUUCGGAGCAAACGAAGUGAAGCAUGUUAUUUAAUUCGAUAAUCCGCAAAAAAGAUA